rnacentral:rRNA from 1 species
UACGGGGGGGGCAAGCGUUGUUCGGAAUUACUGGGCGUAAAGGGCUCGUAGGUGGCCAACUAAGUCAGACGUGAAAUCCCUCGGCUUAACCGGGGAACUGCGUCUGAUACUGGAUGGCUGGAGAUUGGGAGAGGGAUGCGGAAUUCCAGGUGUAGCGGUGAAAUGCGUAGAUAUCAGGAGGAACACCUGUGGUGUAGACAGCUUACUGGACCACUUCUGACGCUGAGACACGAAAGCGUGGGUAGCAAACAGG